rnacentral:sRNA from 1 species
UACAUAAAAUGCCAUUAGAAAAUUUUAAUCAAAAAUAAAAUCAUUUAAUGACAUCAUUAAGAUUACCAAAAUCAUUUAACGACAAUAUUCAUCUCUUAAUUAUAGGGCUUAUUGGAUUUAAAGACGGGUCAUCAAAGAUUUCCUAAACUGAAGCAAAAUAUACCGAAUAUUCAAAUAUCUAUCUGUUACCAAAUUAUAAACAAAUAAGUUCGUAAAAGAAUUUAAUAUUUUAUAUACGAAAUCAAUUAAAUCUUAAUCACAAAAAAAUUAGCACAAAAAAAAAAUGGUACAUUCGGGUCUAUAGUAUUUUUGCAAGACUUUUUUGGUGGAUUUGGGUAAAAGUGCAUUCGGGUCAUAUAGUACAUUCUCCUAUUAAAUAAAUAUGGUGCACUCCUAUGUUAUUAGCUAAAAUGUUUAGAUUAUAAUUUAGAGUCAUAUCAUAAAUAAAAUUAAUAUUAAUAAAAUAAAUGGAUUUUUGACAAGACGGAUUUGGAGGGACGGGUUUUUGAAUCAACAUUAAUAAAAAAAUAAAAUCUAAUUAAUCCACCGUUUCAAUACGGGUUAAAUUUUUAAUUUAUUAUUUUUUAAGACCACUAAUAUUAAAUAUAUCAAAUCAUCCUAAUUUAGAAAAGAUUAUAUAAAACCAAAAAUGUUACGUGGUAUGUAUAAUGUUACUAUAUAUAAAAUUAAACUAUAAAAUAUAAAUGUAUUAGAGAAUGAUACAAUUUGCAAAACUUUUAUAUAUAAUAGAUAAUUCUUAAAUUUUUAAAAU